rnacentral:tRNA from 1 species
GGUUUAAAUUAAUUUCUGAUUGCAAGUCGGAUUGUGAGCAAUAGUAUAGCUCUUAAGCCU